GAACAUUGUCUUUAACCCAUUGAUGUAGCUUUGAAUUUUUCAUAGACAUCAUUUAUUUAAACAUGGAUAAUUCUUACCGUGGUGUUGUGUUUAUAGUUGAAUGAAAGGAAGGGAGCGGGUCCCUCAACUUCCAUGCUUCUAACUGUACUAGCUUCUCAAAAGAUGUAUUUUAAUUGAGACCUGCAGGACAAGACUCAACCAGGGAACAGUUGGGGAGAAAGCUCCAGGCAGCCUGGGAACAAGACUAGGGAAAGGCACCUGGCAGCCUCAGACAACUGAAAAUACGCAAACUGGAAUGAUGGGAGCAUGAAAGGAUUUGUAACAGUGUUCCAGUGGCUGACAUCAAACUCUCGAUACUUCCGC
rnacentral:lncRNA from 1 species